rnacentral:lncRNA from 1 species
AUGUACAGUACCAGUCAAAAGUCUUAGAACACCUUCUCAUUCAAUGGUUUUUCUUUAUUUUUUACUAUUUCUACAUUGUAGAAUAAUAGUGAGACAUGAAAACAAUGAAAUAACACAUAUUAUUAUUAUUAUUAUUUUGUAUUUUUUUAACCUUUUAUUUAACUAGGCAAGUCAGUUAUUUACAGUGACGGCCUACGACUUUUACUAUAUGGCUGGUGUCAUACUUCUAGUGGUUGUGUAGUAGUCCUAGUUGCUAUCUGAGCUGGUUAACAUAUCAGACAGCUGUUUCUUUCACCUCCUUAAUAAGGGUUAGGAUCAGUUCCUGUUUACUUCCUGAAUUGACUGAAAUGAAAUGAAAUUGACCCCAACCCUGAUGUCCUCACUAUAAAGACAACAGCUGACUUCUUCUCUUGCUUCCAGUAUGUCCUGUGGUGUUGUCAGGCUCUGAGAUAUAUAUUUCCAUAUUUGUAAAUAUGUCUCUGCUCAGGUCUAGAUGGAAUGGACAGAGUACUGUAGGCAGGGGGCGGAUCACGAUCCCUGUGUUGUUAGCAGUGGUUUAAACGCCAUGACUCAGAACCUCAGAUGAAGCGUACAGCAGCAUCAUGCUGAUAUACAGUCAGUAGAUGAGUUAAGGUUUAUAGGUCAUCCUCAAACUUCCUACUGCAGGCUCUGUGUUGUACUUGUAUGUGUGUAUAUUACCCUGACUAUAGAAUAACAGCUGCUACAGUCAGACGCAAACAAGCAUGCCUGUUGUAUGCGGACGCUUCAACCCGAGCACUUCAAGGCUAGUCUGAGUGCCAGGCUGUUUUCGGCUCUCUUGCCAACUCCUUCUGGAAUGGAUACCAAUACCAAUGGAGUAGUUGGAAGGACGAACUGUUCUGGGACAAAGGCUACUUCACGGCUGGCUUUCAGAGUAAUACAGCAUCAGAUACAUGGACUACACAGAGGGCCGCUGUUCCUCUCGCUCAGAUGAUUUCUCCGGUGAGAUUCAGCCACUUGCGAAUAAACGAAAAAUGAUGAGAACACAGAGAGAGAGAGAUGAAAGAUACAUUUAAAUGUUUUUUAUUGGUCAAAUAUUUGGGGAAGCCUGGCUUCCUAUGGUAUCCAUGACUACACAUCACUGAUAGAUAGUGGCUGGGAUCUCUGCACUAUAGGUCUAGACAUGUGGAAUGUGGGAUGAGAUGAUGAUGAUGUUGAUGAAGAUGAUGUUGAGGAUGAAGGUGAUGUUCAUGAAGAUGUUGAUGAGGAUGAAGAUGUUGAGGAUGAUGAUGUUGAUGAUGAUGUUGAGAAUGAAACUGAGUGUGAAUCUGUCUGUCUGUCUGUCUGUCUGUCUGUCUGAUUUGUAACCAAUCUGAAGAUGUUCUAGUCCUAUCCCUGAUGCAUUAUGGGGACUGUAGUACAUCGUGGUAUUAUUCUAAAAUACAGUGUACAGUAGUAAUAAACGAAAGAAAAAAAGACAACAACGUGUCAAUAUACGGGCCUUUGUUUGUUUUGUUAGUUUGUUUGUGGUGUGCUGGAUAGUGCAUGCAGUACAUGCCUGUAGCUGCUGAGAAACAACAAACGUGUUAUUGUAAUGUCUUACCAUAAAAAUGAUCCGCAUCACGACA